rnacentral:rRNA from 1 species
GACGAACGCUGGCGGCGUGCUUAACACAUGCAAGUCGAACGGAAAGGCCCUGCGCUUGUUGGGUUCUCGAGUGGCGAACGGGUGAGUAACACGUGAGUAACCUGCCCUUAACUUAGUGAUAACUUCACGAAACUGGGGCUAAUACCGGAUAGGAGCUCCUGCUGCAUGGUGGGGGUUGGAAAGUGUCGGCGGUUGGGUAUGGACUCGCGGCUUAUCAGCUUGUUGGUCGGGUAGUGGCUUACCAAGGCUUUGACGGGUAGCCGGCCUGAGAGGGUGACCGGCCACAUUGGGACUGAGAUACGGCCCAGACUCCUACGGGAGGCAGCAGUGGGGAAUAUUGCACAAUGGGCGGAAGCCUGAUGCAGCAACGCCGCGUGCGGGAUGACGGCCUUCGGGUUGUAAACCGCUUUCGCCUGUGACGAAGCGUGAGUGACGGUAAUGGGUAAAGAAGCACCGGCUAACUACGUG